UCCCUGGUGGUCCAGUGGCUAAGACUCUGUGCUCCCAAUGCAGGGGUCCUGGGUUCGAUCCCUGGUCAGGGAA
rnacentral:tRNA from 1 species